CCGGCACGUAACCAUCACACAGGCCACGCGUGUACCUCCCCACGGCUCCACCGCUAGCCCAUUCGUCUCCACCGCUAGCAUAUCCAUUCGUCUCCACCGAGAUGCAUCUGCAUCCAGCUCAUUACUUCUCUCGCUCAAUCUCUAUCAUGCUUCCACCAAACCAAAGUUGCUGGCGCCCCCCGUUCCAACGAAGCGAGCGGCACCGCCGGAUCCCGUCGCCUCCCCCCGUUCCACUGGAGCAGGCGCCGCUGCUGGAUCUCAUUUCCUCAUCGUUCUUCCAGGCCAGACCACCAGAUCCGGAGUGCCGCCGCCGGAUCCCGUCCCCGUAGGAACCCUUCGCGUCACCGGGAAUCCCACGGCGGCGGACAUGGUGGCCUCUGCAGGCGAGCUGGCUCCGGUCGCUCGGCUGUCCACUCCGCUCCAGGAUCCCCUGCUCCCCUGCUCCACCACCACCAGUGGCCCCACGCGCGCCACCGGGAGUCCCAAGGCAGCGGCCAUGGUGGCCUCUACAGACGAGCGGGCUCCGACCGCUCGGGUCCGCCGCCGCUCCAGCACCGACCGAUGGGCGGCCAUGGCACUCCGCCUGUCUCCGCCCCUCGACGUACUAACUCUGUUUUUUUUCUGUAUGUGUUGACCUCGGACCCUUUUUUCAGUAUAUUCAGACGGGCUCUCUCUCCUCCCCCUCUCUUCUCUUUGAUUUGUUCAUGUCCUUCAUUACAGGCUCUUCCUCAACAUUUUUCGAUUGGUGAUGCAUGGCAUCUUUCUUCAUUUCUCUAGGAUAAAGAUGAUUUAUAUCUCAUCUUUCUUUUGUUGUUCUGUAGAUUCUCGCAACUUCGAACAUAUCUAAAUUGCUAGGAUUUGAUCUAACGGGGCGGGGUGGGACUAUUUUAGCACAGACAUAAGCAAAUUCCGUUUCGUGCAGCAGUAAGGGAGGGGAUGGCAGGUCGGGAGAUGUAGGGGCUUUUUUUUAAAAACGAAACGUUUUUGCCAGAUCCACUUAAAUAGGACUGCGGGUUAAAUUAUUGGAAGUGGAGGGACUUUUAUGCAAAAUCGCUAGCGACGACGGACGACCAGAAGCACUCCGUGCUUUAUUAGUAGGGAAAGAUAUAUAUAUAUAUAGGUAAAAAUAAAGAUAUAUAGGUAAUAAAUCUUGCCGUAAUUUAUUGUCUUUUUAAUGUAUAAUAAUAUCUCACCCUGAUGCAAAUAUGGUAACUACUCCGGUAGAAUCGAACACUGAUGUAUGCAUGGUAUAAUAAAUCUUGCCGUGGACGCAUCCAUAAUCAUGAGUAUCUCACGUAACACACACCUAUGCGUGAUCGGCAACGCUACUGAUUACAUGGAAUAUAUCUAUUUUAGGGCAGUGAGGGGUGUUUGUAUCUCAGAUAAUGCCAUAUGUAAACUGCCAAUCUCCAGAUCGUCAUGUAUGGGAUGCGUCAAUAUUUCCUUUUAGCAAGACUAGAGUGCCGCCUAUAUAUACUGCGGCCGGAGGGGUUCACGGUCAUUGCCUCUUAGGUUUACAGAGAAGAAUAGAUUUCCACGAUCGAGUUGAAGAUCAACCAUGAGAGGGAGCGGCCUUGUGUUCGUGAUCGCCCUCCUGUUCGUCGGGUGCCUUGCGAUCGGACAGUGUCGUCCUGUGGUUAGAGGAAGCAACCAAGAGAGUCGUGCCAAUAUUACCGCAAAUGCUACAACUAUUGCGGAUUCGUCGUCAUCAAGGGAGAGCUCGAGCAAACUGACGUUGAACUGGUGUUACCCAAGGGACUGCAACAAUCCUAACAAUCCGUUCUACACGAGACCGUGCUACUGCUGCCCCUUGCGACCGGACGAGCUGUGCUUUAGUAAUAUCGACGAUUGCCAUGCAGGGUGCCCGACUUGUCAUCCUACUUGCUGAUAUAUAGGCGUGUUCAUUGCUGUGACAUAAAGCUACUAGUUCGGUGUUAUUCGUUAGGUUGAUGGUAGUACACACUAGCUUUCCCACUACUAGUCUUUCUCUAUAUAUGUGCAACGCAAUAUAUAUAUGUAUGAUCGAGUUUAAAGAGAUGAACGAAGGAUAAUUCGCUA